GACCUAAACCUUGAUUUUAUUGAGGCAUGGUCAUGAAAUUCGCGACGAACAUAAAGAUCCCGUUAUCAGGGCGUUCGUCGCGUUACCAGGGGAAACUCUGGUAGAGGAUACCGUAAGGUACC
rnacentral:sRNA from 1 species